UCCUAAAUCUCGUCACUCUCUCACAUAUUCAAAAUCAGCCCUAAGAUGAUAAUUCAUUCGAUUCGGAGAAUCCCAAAAAAUCUUCGCGAAUUGAAGCUUUUUGGUAUCCCUUCAAUCCGAAUGCUCUGGGUGGGAGUACGCAGUGCCGUUUGAAUUGAAGUCACUUUGAUGUGAGGAGAGGUGUCUUGGCUCCUUUUAGGGUUUGCUAGAGGGAAGGGGAGAGCUCGAAGAUCUAAGGAUUGGUUUGAGUUGAUUCUAAUUCUUGGAGAGGUCGCGAUGGAUUUGGAUUUUAAUGGUGAUGUAGCUCCUGUAGCUCCAGGAGGUGUCUCCAUUGGCCAUCAAAGCUAAUUCGUAUGUUGCCAAGAAGCUCUUUGAUCAGUGGUUGUCGCUUCCUGAUACAACAUCCUUGAGAUAGAGAAAGAAGGGGAGAGAGUUCCAGUGUUAUUGUCUUUGCAUUGUUUGUAAGGUUGGAGGCUUGGGGGCUUGGUUGUGAAUAUAAGGGAAUUGAUAAAAAAGUUGGGCUGCUCCCAAAGUCACAAAAGAUGGUGUCGCUGUUGCAAAAAGAGUGCUGAAUUCAAUAACAAAGUCAAGAAUGUUGGAGCAAGCUUUAUAAAGCAAGUGGCUAAUGCUACUAAUGACGUUGCUGGUAAUGGGCCAAGUCCGUCUCUGCAGUCAUUUUCUCAUUAAUGCUACUUAAUUUUCUACACUUACAGGUUGGGACAAUCUCUGUAAAUGGGAAGAGAGAAAUUGGUGAGUUAAUUGCUAAGGCUAUGAAGAAAGUAGGCAAGAAAGGUGUCAUCACAAUUCAAGUCCUUGCUUCUAUUCUAAGAUGGAAAGACAUUAUUAAAUGAGCUAGAAGUUGUGGAGGGGAUGAAGCUAGAUAGGGGAUACAUCACUCCAUAUUUCAUUACAAACCAGAAGAACAUAAAUGUGUAAGUUUUCAUAAUCUGAUGGCUGAUAUACUAUUGCAAUUAUUAUUCACAUGCAAAGCAUAAUUCUUCAUAAAUACUUGCUUACGACUCUAUUGUGAAAAUCUCAAGCAUAAAUGCUAUUGUGAAAAUCUUGGAGUUGCCUAUGAAGAGACAAAGACCCUUCUUUAUUAUAGCUGAAGAUGUGGAUAACAAUGCCCUAGCAACUCUUAUGCUCGACAAACUUCGUGUCGGAAUCAAGGUUGGUGAAAACAGGAAGGCCAAUCUUCAAGAUCUUGCUACGCUGACAGGAGGCCAAGUGAGAAAUGUUCUUGUCAUGCCCUUAAAUCAUGUCUCUCUCUAUGCCCUAAAACUUCCACAUGCCCUUGAGGUGGUCAAAAUAUCGCUCAACCAAAGAUACUAAUUGUUUGCUAAUUGACCAGUGGUCCUUUUUGCUGAGUAUUUUUGUUUCUAAUUUUAGGCUUAGUCUAUACGGUUAGUAUUUAUUUGUUCACAUUUGUUUUUCUGUUUACAAGUACAUGUUUUCUUACUAAAUUUUUGUACUUAUUUAGGUCUCUUAUUAAGCAUUUAACUUCAAGCAAUGCCUCACACUUCAAAUUGCUGGCAUAUUCUUAUGCGAAUGAGAGCUCCUACUGAAGGUUAUUGUGACUGUAUUGCUUCGGUAUAGUCUAUGGAUGAGUUGAAGAUAAGCUUAUGUAUACAACUCUUGAAUUGCAGAGGUUGAAGGUUGAAUCCAGGGAGGAGAUGAGGGAAACAGAUGAAGCAAGAAACCGGAUUCAGAAAGUGGAUUUUUUAUGUCCAUAGAUACAAAGAUGUCAAAUAUGGAUUUUUUUAUAUGUAAAAGUACUUUUUAGUUAUUUAUGUAAUUCAAAUAAUAUGUAAAAUUUUGUACUUGAAUAUUGUUUGAUGUUAUUAUUUGACAAAUAUUAUUAUAAUUGAUUUUCUUUUAAAUUA